rnacentral:rRNA from 1 species
GUACCCUACGGGACGCAGCAGUGAGGAAUAUUGGUCAAUGGCCGCAGGGCUGAACCAGCCAAGUCGCGUGAGGGAUGACGGUCCUAUGGAUUGUAAACCUCUUUUGUCAGGGAGCAAAGGGCGCCACGUGUGGCGUUUUGCGAGUACCUGAAGAAAAAGCAUCGGCUAACUCCGUGCCAGCAGCCGCGGUAAUACGGAGGAUGCGAGCGUUAUCCGGAUUUAUUGGGUUUAAAGGGUGCGCAGGCGGAAUGUCAAGUCAGCGGUAAAAUUUCGGGGCUCAACCCCGUCGUGCGGUGGAACUUGCG